UCUUGAGAAAAACGUUCACUCUUGCUUAUGUGAAGCUUGGGUAAGGUUGUGAAUAAAUAAUUGGAGCUUGGAAUUGUGGAUAUUGGAACUUGGAGGAAGCUGAGCCUAGUGUUUAUUGAAUUCUGGAAGGGCUGUGUUUGUUUUGGAAGGGCUGUGUUUAUUAUAAUUAAAGUGCCUUGAUCGUUAGGUGGGAAUCGGCCAAGAUCAAUAGGCAUCUCGUUAGGCGUCUGGGCUCUUGAAGCGAAGUGGUUACAGGGUUAUUUUGUUACGUUAUGAUGUAUAUAUAUGUACUUGGUUUUCUCUCCGCAUAGCUUGUUCUUUUGAUCUUCCUAGAGGUUUAUGGAGAGACAGGAUUGUGUAUAUGUACUUUUGGAUUUCGGAUAUGUAUGUCUAUAUGUGUAAAU